GAUGAAGAACGUAGCGAAAUGCGAUAAGUAGUGUGAAUUGCAGAAUUCAGUGAAUCAUCGAAUCUUUGAACGCACAUUGCGCCUCCUGGUAUUCCGGGAGGCAUGCCUGUUCGAGCGUCAUUAAAAUCACUCAAGCUUAGGUUUACCUAUUGCUUGGUCUUGGAGAUGGAAGCCAAUUCAUUGGAAUCCUCUUCGAAAUCCAAUGGCGAAGACCCUUGCUCUCCCAAGUGUAGUAAUAACUUAUGUCACUGAAGGAAGCGAGAAAUCUUCCGCCGUAACCCCCAUAUUUUCUAUGAUUGACCUCGGUUCAGGUAGGGAUACCCGCUGAACUUAAGCAUAUCAAUAAGCGGAGGA
rnacentral:misc_RNA from 1 species